GACGAACGCUGGCGGCGUGCUUAACACAUGCAAGUCGAACGGAAAGGCCCUGCUUCUGUGGGGUGCUCGAGUGGCGAACGGGUGAGUAACACGUGAGUAACCUGCCCUUGACUUUGGGAUAACUUCAGGAAACUGGGGCUAAUACCGGAUAGGAGCUCCUGCUGCAUGGUGGGGGUUGGAAAGUUUCGGCGGUUGGGGAUGGACUCGCGGCUUAUCAGCUUGUUGGUGGGGUAGUGGCUUACCAAGGCUUUGACGGGUAGCCGGCCUGAGAGGGUGACCGGCCACAUUGGGACUGAGAUACGGCCCAGACUCCUACGGGAGGCAGCAGUGGGGAAUAUUGCACAAUGGGCGGAAGCCUGAUGCAGCAACGCCGCGUGCGGGAUGACGGCCUUCGGGUUGUAAACCGCUUUCGCCUGUGACGAAGCGUGAGUGACAGUAAUGGGUAAAGAAGCACCGGCUAACUACGUG
rnacentral:rRNA from 1 species